UGCCCGAUAGUGUAGCGGUAGCACGUCAACCUUUGGAGUUGAAAUCCCUGGUUCGAAUCCAGGUCGGGCAG
rnacentral:tRNA from 1 species